rnacentral:rRNA from 1 species
UACGGGGGGGGCAAGCGUUGUUCGGAAUUACUGGGCGUAAAGGGCUCGUAGGUGGCCAACUAAGUCAGACGUGAAAUCCCUCGGCUUAACCGGGGAACUGCGUCUGAUACUGGAUGGCUUGAGUUCGGGAGAGGAACGCGGAAUUCCAGGUGUAGCGGUGAAAUGCGUAGAUAUCUGGAGGAACACCGGUGGCGAAGGCGGCGUUCUGGACCAAUACUGACGAUCAGGUGCGGAAAGCGUUGG